GGAGUCAGGGCCCCCUCAGCUCCACCCCGAAGCUUGGCAUGAUUUGCCAUUUUACUGCUCCUCUGGAAUCUGUGCUUCCUCCCGAGCGCAGGAGGUUCCCCUGCCGCGGCUGCCGGCCCCAGGACCUGGAUGGAGAUCGCCCGAGGAGAAUCCGUUCUCCUGGUCACACUACAGAGGCCUAGGGGGACGAGACCUGCGGGGCCUGUCCGGACCCGAGGCGGCGCUCGGGAUGGUCUCCCGUGGAGCAGAAACGCCGUUUCCUGGGUGAGGACUCUUAGUCGCCCACCUGGACGGCGGCGGAGACAUCCGCGCCACCUGCUCCCCAAAUCCACCUGGACGCGCACUCAGCAGGGGUGCGGGGGAGGGGCUUCCUUCCUUGGGGGCCUCGCCUAGAGCCCCCGCCCCUGGGAUGCCCAGACCCCUUUCCCCCUAGCAUGCCCAGCCCCCCAGCACGCCCACCCCUCCGGCACACCUACCCCCACCCAGCACACUCAACCCCGCAGCACACUCACCCCCAGCAUGCCCACCCCCCAAGCACACCCCUUUCCCCCAACACACCCAUCCCCCAGCACGCCCACCACACCUCCCAGCACACCCACCCCCGCCCCUACCUGUCCUGCGGUGUGUGGGGCGGGGGGGGCGGGGGGACUCGGACGACGCCCACGGGGCACACGUGGGCCCUCCUGUGCUCUCCGCACUCCCUCCCGUGCUUCCGCAAGCCUGCGCACUCCACUGGGGAUUACGGUCCAGCCCACCCGGAGGACCCUAUUCAAGCCCGAAGCGCCCCCCUUCCCCUUCCCAGCGCCGCGUACUGCGGCGGCCUUGUUUGAUUACCUGCCUUUCCAUUUCUUCUGUAUUUACAACCCUCCCGACUCCCGGGGAGAGGGCGGCAUAGGCAGCCAAUCAGGAUGCAGUCGUCUCUAAAGGUCAGGGUGACACACAUUUCCCAAGAUCAUUCACGGACUUCGCCCUUCGAUGCCUUGUUCUCAUGACAAAACCUGGCUGCCAGCACUUAAUGUGAUUUCCCCCCAUCUCUGGCAACUGAGAGAAUAAAAAACUGAACAUAAAAAUUAACUCUUUUAUUA
ensembl:lncRNA ZEBTR ZEB1 transcriptional regulator RNA